rnacentral:rRNA from 1 species
ACGCGAGGAACCUUACCAGGUCUUGACAUCCCGCUGCCCGGUAUAGAGAUAUACCUUUCCCUUCGGGGACAGCGGUGACAGGUGGUGCAUGGUUGUCGUCAGCUCGUGUCGUGAGAUGUUGGGUUAAGUCCCGCAACGAGCGCAACCCUUGAUCUUAGUUGCCAGCAUUAAGUUGGGCACUCUAAGGUGACUGCCGGUGACAAACCGGAGGAAGGUGGGGAUGACGUCAAAUCAUCAUGCCCCUUAUGACCUGGGCUACACACGUGCUACAAUGGAUGGUACAAAGGGCAGCAAAGCGGCGACGCCUAGCAAAUCCCAUAAAACCAUUCUCAGUUCGGAUUGUAGGCUGCAACUCGCCUACAUGAAGCUGGAAUCGCUAGUAAUCGCGGAUCAGCAUGCCGCGGUGAAUACGUUCCCGGGCCUUGUACACACCGCCCGU